AUUGAACGCUGGCGGCAGGCCUAACACAUGCAAGUCGAGCGGAUGAAGGGAGCUUGCUCCUGGAUUCAGCGGCGGACGGGUGAGUAAUGCCUAGGAAUCUGCCUGGUAGUGGGGGAUAACGUCCGGAAACGGGCGCUAAUACCGCAUACGUCCUGAGGGAGAAAGUGGGGGAUCUUCGGACCUCACGCUAUCAGAUGAGCCUAGGUCGGAUUAGCUAGUUGGUGAGGUAAAGGCCUACCAAGGCGACGAUCCGUAACUGGCCUGAGAGGAUGAUCAGUCACACUGGAACUGAGACACGGUCCAGACUCCUACGGGAGGCAGCAGUGGGGAAUAUUGGACAAUGGGCGAAAGCCUGAUCCAGCCAUGCCGCGUGUGUGAAGAAGGUCUUCGGAUUGUAAAGCACUUUAAGUUGGGAGGAAGGGCAGUAAGUUAAUACCUUGCUGUUUUGACGUUACCAACAGAAUAAGCACCGGCUAACUUCGUG
rnacentral:rRNA from 1 species